AAAGAAAGAAAGAAAGAAAGAAUACGAAUGAAAAAUGAGAAAAAGGGAGAAAUGGAAAGAAAAGAGCGAAACUAAGUUGAAUUGCAUAGAAACGGGUUUAAUGAAUUUUGACCCCGGUAAUGCACUUUUGCAGGAUAGGAGUCCUAAUGCGAAAUUGACUGCGUGCAAACCAAAUUGAGGGUAAAACAAACUCGUUGGCGAAGUCGGUUCGGCAAUCCGACGAACCUACGCAAAGAUAGCGCCAAAAGGACAAUUUCGGCUACGAUUGUCGCAAGCGCGGGUCGCGGUUCUCGGGAAAGUGCGAGAAGUGGAUUUCUCGCGUUCAGGUAUCAAAUAAAGUUGCAGCCUGGGAGUUUACAGCUUAUGAGAAGUGGUCGAGCACCAACCUGGUACUCUUGGUGCUGAGGGAAAACCUUGGAGAAGCUUCGAAUUAGGUCGACGACGCGCUAAUUACGGUAGAGACCGUUCUAGUUCCAUUUGCACUGAGUCGCGAGUGAUAGUUGUCGACGCAUUCCGAGACCUUGAUCUUAGUUGAUUGACACCACUACAGGUUCCAGUGCGAGCGUUGUGGCCGAGGAUCGAGGCAAGAGCCAGCAGCCUAGCUAGUGG